CCCUUAGAUGUUCUGGGCCGCACGCGCGCUACACUGACAGAUGCAACGAGCCUAUAACCUGCGUCGGAAGGCGUGGGUAAUCUUGAAACUCUGUCGUGAUGGGGAUAGAUUAUUGCAACUUUUAAUCUUGAACGAGGAAUGCCUAGUAAGCGCGAGUCAUCAGCUCGCGUUGAUUACGUCCCUGCCCUUUGUACACACCGCCCGUCGCUCCUACCGAUUGGGUGUGCUGGUGAAUCGUUGGGAUUGGCGGUCAUUGGCGGUCUCCGCCGGUUUCCGCCGAGAACUUCGGUAAACCCUCCCACCUAGAGGAAGGAGAAGUCGUAACA
rnacentral:rRNA from 1 species